rnacentral:rRNA from 1 species
GACGAACGCUGGCGGCGUGCUUAACACAUGCAAGUCGAACGGAAAGGCCCUGCUUUUGUGGGGUGCUCGAUUGGCGAACGGGUGAGUAACACGUGAGUAACCUGCCCUUGACUUUGGGAUAACUUCAGGAAACUGGGGCUAAUACCGGAUAGGAGCUCCUGCUGCAUGGUGGGGGUUGGAAAGUUUCGGCGGUUGGGGAUGGACUCGCGGCUUAUCAGCUUGUUGGUGGGGUAGUGGCUUACCAAGGCUUUGACGGGUAGCCGGCCUGAGAGGGUGACCGGCCACAUUGGGACUGCGAUACGGCCCAGACUCCUACGGGAGGCAGCAGUGGGGAAUAUUGCACAAUGGGCGGAAGCCUGAUGCAGCAACGCCGCGUGCGGGAUGACGGCCUUCGGGUUGUAAACCGCUUUCGCCUGUGACGAAGCGUGAGUGACGGUAAUGGGUAAAGAAGCACCGGCUAACUACGUG